UCCCUGAGGGUAUUUCCCACUAUCAACCAAGCCUCACAGGGCAGCUGAACUGCCUGCCCAUCUUCCUCCUCUUUAUACAGAAAACAGACAACCAUCCCACUCACUUGCCUGGGCUCAAUGAAAAGCUCUCUCUGGGUUCUUAAGUUUAUCCAUCUUGAGACUGUAAAAUCUCUUUCCUGUAAUAUUUCUCCAUUUCAGUCUUCUCUUCUGUAACAGAAAAUUAAAAGCAAUUCCCCACACCUGCCUGAAGUGGAUCGAAGAUGGCAUGAGAGCAUUCUGCAGGUUCUCUGAGAAUUGGAAAAGGGAGGCAGAAGGAAAGAGAGCAGAACGAAUGCAGAAUUGCCUUAAGAAAAAAGAGAAUAUAACUGCAGAAUUAUUUCAGAGUGAACAUAAAUAUUUAAUCUUUGAUAAAACAGGUGAAAAUUUAACGUUCUAGUGCAAUUGCAAAGAACGCUUAUUAAGUACUUGAAAAGAAAGAAGAUUUAGGUUUCCUGAAAGAACGACGGACUGAAAAGUUCUUAGAGCUAAAAUUCGAGAUGCCAUAAAACUACUGUUAAAAUAUGAUUUCUAAUUUCAAUCUUUCAGGGCAAAAUCAAGCUUUGAUUCACUUGUAAGCCAGAUCCCACGCACUCCUCCUCCCAAGGAGGGCCUAGGCAGCGGCAACCUGUCCACGUGUCGAGGCUAUCCUGCACCACCAGAGCCCGUCUCCUGACCUUCGAUGUCGUGAUGAGCGAGCGCAGCUCCAUCAACCUUGGGCAACGAGAUGCAGCCGCGUGCGGCAGCCUGGCACUGCCCCGAGCAUGCUCAGUCCCGUCCUGACCCACUUCUGCAGGUCUGCGCUCGGGGCAGGAGGUCGCAAGCGCUACUUUGUUUUGUUUGCCAGGGAUAGAGAGAAGGAGAAGAGAAACUGGGAGUCGUUGAAAGCCUCCUCUCUCCUUGACAGCAAUCCCUGACCCGGCGGCGGAACAUGCCCAGUCUGGCUGCACGAGCCACCAGGAGCGUUCGUGUGUAAGGUCCACCUUUCCGGGUUUUGCAGCAACCGAAGGAGAAGGGGAGGUACCGGAGUAAAAGGGUCGAAGUGGGCGUGGCCAAGGGGCGGGACGAGAGGAGCCAGGGAGGAGGAGACCGGUCUCGGUCCCCGAAAUUGACUGUCUCUCGCAAGUCUUAAAAAAGGAAAAAAAGGCUGCUUACAUUGCAGGGUAGGGCUGGCAAACUUCUGUUCUGCAGGCGUUCUUUAUAAAUUUAGAAUAACCUAUGUUUCCUAUUAAAAAAGCAUCCUGUUGUUCAUUAGAGAAAACUUAGAAACUACAAAUAAUCAAAAAAGAAGACAACUUAAGAAUCCCUGGAAACCUCCCAGUCAGAAGCCACCAGUGAACGUCCUGCCGUGUUUUCUUCCAGUCUCUUGUGUGUGGGCUUUAGACUAGACAGCAGAGACACCCGGGGAGGCCUGCGAAGCUUUUGAUUGCAACGCGGCUUGACAGACGGCCUUGGAGACGGGAUGAAAUCUUAUUCUGGUGAAAGAAGAAGGCCCAGGCGAUCCCAUUCCUAUGCUGUGAAUCUGAAUGGCCUCAAUCAAACAGCCAGAGAGAUGAAGACUGCGGGAUGAUUUCGACAUUUUGAAGUAUUAGUUAAGUAGGCAGUUGCUUUUCAUUUCAACAAUAAUAAGAAUGUAUAUUUCAGGCAUAGAAAAUAGUCCCCAUAAACUUUACUCAUUUCCACCAACAGCCCCGAGUCCUCUGACAGACCAGAUUU
ensembl:lncRNA